rnacentral:rRNA from 1 species
AGCACCGGCUAACUACGUGCCAGCAGCCGCGGUAAUACGUAGGGUGCAAGCGUUAUCCGGAAUUAUUGGGCGUAAAGGGCUCGUAGGCGGUUCGUCGCGUCCGGUGUGAAAGUCCAUCGCUUAACGGUGGAUCUGCGCCGGGUACGGGCGGGCUGGAGUGCGGUAGGGGAGACUGGAAUUCCCGGUGUAACGGUGGAAUGUGUAGAUAUCGGGAAGAACACCAAUGGCGAAGGCAGGUCUCUGGGCCGUUACUGACGCUGAGGAGCGAAAGCGUGGGGAGCGAACAGGAUUAGAUACCCUGGUAGUCCACGCCGUAAACGGUGGAUGCUGGAUGUGGGGCCCGUUCCACGGGUUCCGUGUCGGAGCUAACGCGUUAAGCAUCCCGCCUGGGGAGUACGGCCGCAAGGCUAAAACUCAAAGAAAUUGACGGGGGCCCGCACAAGCGGCGGAGCAUGCGGAUUAAUUCGAUGCAACGCGAAGAACCUUACCUGGGCUUGACAUGUUCCCGACAGCCGUAGAGAUGCGGCCUCCCUUCGGGGCGGGUUCACAGGUGGUGCAUGGUCGUCGUCAGCUCGUGUCGUGAGAUGUUGGGUUAAGUCCCGCAACGAGCGCAACCCUCGCCCUGUGUUGCCAGCACGUCAUGGUGGGAACUCACGGGGGACCGCCGGGGUCAACUCGGAGGAAGGUGGGGAUGACGUCAGAUCAUCAUGCCCCUUACGUCCAGGGCUUCACGCAUGCUACAAUGGCCGGUACAACGGGAUGCGACAUGGCGACAUGGAGCGGAUCCCUGAAAACCGGUCUCAGUUCGGAUUGGAGUCUGCAACCCGACUCCAUGAAGGCGGAGUCGCUAGUAAUCGCGGAUCAGCAACGCCGCGGUGAAUGCGUUCCCGGGCCUUGUACACACCGCCCGUCAAGUCAUGAAAGUGGGUAGCACCCGAAGCCGGUGGCCUAACCCCUUGUGGGAUGGAGCCGUCUAAGGUGAGACUCGUGAUUGGGACUAAGUCGUAACAAGGUAGCCGUACCGGAAGGUGCGGCUG